GGCUACUACAUCCAAGGAAGGCAGCAGGCGCGCAAAUUACCCAAUCCCGAUACGGGGAGGUAGUGACAAUAAAUACUGAUACAGGGCUCUUUUGGGUCUUGUAAUUGGAAUGAGUACAAUUUAAUUCCCUUAACGAGGAACAAUUGGAGGGCAAGUCUGGUGCCAGCAGCCGCGGUAAUUCCAGCUCCAAUAGCGUAUAUUAAAGUUGUUGCAGUUAAAAAGCUCGUAGUUGAACCUUGGGCCUGGCUGGCCGGUCCGCCUCACCGCGUGCACUGGUCCGGCCGGGCCUUUCCCUCUGGGGAACCGCAUGCCCUUCACUGGGCGUGCCGGGGAACCAGGACUUUUACUUUGAAAAAAUUAGAGUGUUCAAAGCAGGCUUAUGCUCGGAUACAUUAGCAUGGAAUAAUAGAAUAGGACGUGCGGUUCUAUUUUGUUGGUUUCUAGGACCGCCGUAAUGAUUAAUAGGGACAGUCGGGGGCAUCAGU
rnacentral:rRNA from 1 species